rnacentral:rRNA from 1 species
AACGAACGCUGGCGGCAUGCCUAACACAUGCAAGUCGAACGAGACCUUCGGGUCUAGUGGCGCACGGGUGCGUUACGCGUGGGAACCUGCCCUUAGGUUCGGAAUAACUCCCCGAAAGGGGUGCUAAUACCGGAUAAUGUCUUCGGACCAAAGAUUUAUCGCCUUUGGAUGGGCCCGCGUUGGAUUAGCUAGUUGGUAGGGUAAAAGCCUACCAAGGCGACGAUCCAUAGCUGGUCUGAGAGGAUGAUCAGCCACACUGGGACUGAGACACGGCCCAGACUCCUACGGGAGGCAGCAGUGGGGAAUAUUGGACAAUGGGCGAAAGCCUGAUCCAGCUAUGCCGCGUGAGUGAUGAAGGCCUUAGGGUUGUAAAGCUCUUUUACCCGGGAUGAUAAUGACAGUACCGGGAGAAUAAGCUCCGGCUAACUCCGUG